rnacentral:rRNA from 1 species
UUACGGAAGGCAGCAGUGGGGAAUUUUGGACAAUGGGCGCAAGCCUGAUCCAGCCAUUCCGCGUGCAGGAUGAAGGCCUUCGGGUUGUAAACUGCUUUUGUACGGAACGAAACGCGUUGGGUCAAUACCCUGACGUAAUGACGGUACCGUAAGAAUAAGCACCGGCUAACUACGUGCCAGCAGCCGCGGUAAUACGUAGGGUGCGAGCGUUAAUCGGAAUUACUGGGCGUAAAGCGUGCGCAGGCGGUGAUGUAAGACAGAUGUGAAAUCCCCGGGCUCAACCUGGGAACUGCAUUUGUGACUGCAUCGCUGGAGUGCGGCAGAGGGGGAUGGAAUUCCGCGUGUAGCAGUGAAAUGCGUAGAUAUGCGGAGGAACACCGAUGGCGAAGGCAAUCCCCUGGGCCUGCACUGACGCUCAUGCACGAAAGCGUGGGGAGCAAACAGGAUUAGAUACCCCGGUAGU